GACGAACGCUGGCGGCGUGCCUAAUACAUGCAAGUUGAGCGAUGAAGAUUGGUGCUUGCACCAAUUUGAAGAGCAGCGAACGGGUGAGUAACGCGUGGGGAAUCUGCCUUUGAGCGGGGGACAACAUUUGGAAACGAAUGCUAAUACCGCAUAACAACUUUAAACAUAAGUUUUAAGUUUGAAAGAUGCAAUUGCAUCACUCAAAGAUGAUCCCGCGUUGUAUUAGCUAGUUGGUGAGGUAAAGGCUCACCAAGGCGAUGAUACAUAGCCGACCUGAGAGGGUGGUCGGCCACAAUGGGACUGAGACAAGGCCCAAACUCCUACGGGAGGCAGCAGGAGGGAAUCUUCGGCAAUGGACGAAAGUCUGACCGAGCAACGCCGCGUGAGUGAAGAAGGUUUUCGGAUCGUAAAACUCUGUUGGUAGAGAAGAACGUUGGUGAGAGUGGAAAGCUCAUCAAGUGACGGUAACUACCCAGAAAGGGACGGCUAACUACGUG
rnacentral:rRNA from 1 species